rnacentral:rRNA from 1 species
GGGUGCUAUACAUGCAAGUCGAGCGGACAGAUGGGAGCUUGCUCCCUGAUGUUAGCGGCGGACGGGUGAGUAACACGUGGGUAACCUGCCUGUAAGACUGGGAUAACUCCGGGAAACCGGGGCUAAUACCGGAUGGUUGUUUGAACCGCAUGGUUCAAACAUAAAAGGUGGCUUCGGCUACCACUUACAGAUGGACCCGCGGCGCAUUAGCUAGUUGGUGAGGUAACGGCUCACCAAGGCAACGAUGCGUAGCCGACCUGAGAGGGUGAUCGGCCACACUGGGACUGAGACACGGCCCAGACUCCUACGGGAGGCAGCAGUAGGGAAUCUUCCGCAAUGGACGAAAGUCUGACGGAGCAACGCCGCGUGAGUGAUGAAGGUUUUCGGAUCGUAAAGCUCUGUUGUUAGGGAAGAACAAGUACCGUUCGAAUAGGGCGGUACCUUGACGGUACCUAACCAGAAAGCCACGGCUAACUACGUGCCAGCAGCCGCGGUAAUACGUAGGUGGCAAGCGUUGUCCGGAAUUAUUGGGCGUAAAGGGCUCGCAGGCGGUUUCUUAAGUCUGAUGUGAAAGCCCCCGGCUCAACCGGGGAGGGUCAUUGGAAACUGGGGAACUUGAGUGCAGAAGAGGAGAGUGGAAUUCCACGUGUAGCGGUGAAAUGCGUAGAGAUGUGGAGGAACACCAGUGGCGAAGGCGACUCUCUGGUCUGUAACUGACGCUGAGGAGCGAAAGCGG